AUAAUGGGUCAGCGACUUAUAUUCUGUAGCAAGGUUAACCGAAUAGGGGAGCCGAAGGGAAACCGAGUCUUAACUGGGCGUUAAGUUGCAGGGUAUAGACCCGAAACCCGGUGAUCUAGCCAUGGGCAGGUUGAAGGUUGGGUAACACUAACUGGAGGACCGAACCGACUAAUGUUGAAAAAUUAGCGGAUGACUUGUGGCUGGGGGUGAAAGGCCAAUCAAACCGGGAGAUAGCUGGUUCUCCCCGAAAGCUAUUUAGGUAGCGCCUCGUGAAUUCAUCUCCGGGGGUAGAGCACUGUUUCGGCAAGGGGGUCAUCCCGACUUACCAACCCGAUGCAAACUGCGAAUACCGGAGAAUGUUAUCACGGGAGACACACGGCGGGUGCUAACGUCCGUCGUGAAGAGGGAAACAACCCAGACCGCCAGCUAAGGUCCCAAAGUCAUGGUUAAGUGGGAAACGAUGUGGGAAGGCCCAGACAGCCAGGAUGUUGGCUUAGAAGCAGCCAUCAUUUAAAGAAAGCGUAAUAGCUCACUGGUCGAGUCGGCCUGCGCGGAAGAUGUAACGGGGCUAAACCAUGCACCGAAGCUGCGGCAGCGACGCUUAUGCGUUGUUGGGUAGGGGAGCGUUCUGUAAGCCUGCGAAGGUGUGCUGUGAGGCAUGCUGGAGGUAUC
rnacentral:rRNA from 1 species